rnacentral:rRNA from 1 species
GAUGAACGCUAGCGGCAGGCUUAAUACAUGCAAGUCGAGGGGCAGCGCAGUGUAGCAAUACAUGGGCGGCGACCGGCAAACGGGUGCGGAACACGUACAGAACCUUCCUUCGAGCGGGGAAUAGCCCAGAGAAAUUUGGAUUAAUACCCCAUAGUAUAUUAGAGUGGCAUCACUUUAAUAUUAAAGAUUUAUCACUUGAAGAUGGCUGUGCGGCUGAUUAGGAGUUGGCGGGGUAACGGCCCACCAAGCCAGCGAUCAGUAACUGGUGUGAGAGCACGACCAGUCACACGGGCACUGAGACACGGGCCCGACUCCUACGGGAGGCAGCAGUAAGGAAUAUUGGUCAAUGGACGCAAGUCUGAACCAGCCAUGCCGCGUGGAGGAUGAAGGUCCUCUGGAUUGUAAACUUCUUUUAUAUUGGGACGAAAAAGGCUUUCUAAGUCGUCUGACGGUACCAUAUGAAUAAGCACCGGCUAACUCCGU